UACGACCAUAUCAUGUUGAAAGACCGGUUCUCGUACGUCACCGAAGUUAAGCAACAUCGAGCCUGAUCAGUAUCUAAAUGGAUGACCGCUUGUGAAUAAUAGGUGUUGUGA